AUGUAGCAAUGUUAUUAUGGUCCUUUAAUAACUAAUUGAGGAAAAGGCACACAGAUAUCUGGGAGACAAUACUACGUAGGCUGUUUAAUAGAGCCAGCUAACUAAACUUGUAGUAAUCAUGGCUGAGUACCAACCAGGCACGCAGGGCAUGUGCCCAGAGGCCCUGACCUCCAGAGGGCCCCCAUUGAUUUUGUUAGUCAUUCUCACUCGAUACCAUUAUUAGGGUACUAGGGGGUAACUCCCCCCCAUGUUAUUCACAUUAAGACCACAAGUUGUCACCAAAUUAUUUUCCCAACAAUUUUCCUGGCUGCCGCUGCUCUUGCUCAACCAAAAAUGACUGCUGUGUCAUGACAACUUUUGGAGGUAUUUCAACAAAACGAUUUUGUGAAGAGAACAUACAGGAAGAAGACAGACCAUGGAAGCUGUGUCUCGGGGGUGAUACAGCAUCCCCUGAAGGCAAUAGACCUUAAAGGGGCGUGCCAGGGUGUUCAACAUUCCACCAAGAACCCUAUGGCACCACAGAGGAAAGGAGGUGAAAAACCCAGGCUUUCAGCCAAAUGGGUGGGGCGUCAGUCUUCUCUUUCGCGUCUGAAAGGGACCUCGUCAAUCGCAUCAUGGGACGUGAGAAGACUCGCCUUUGAUCUGACAGAGAGGAUGGGAAUCAAGCACAGGUUCAUCAAAGUAAAGGGGUAUGCAUGGGUGGAUUGGUUCAGUUGCUUAAUGAAGCGCAACCCUCAACUGUCAGUUUGAGUAUCGCAAGCAACCAGUCUUGCGAGGGCCGUGGGCUUUAAUAAGCUUAAGGUUGACCAGUUUUUUUUUUUUACGGCCUACAAGGACGUUUUUAACAGCAUCAGGGACAUCGGGCAAACAAAGAUUUGGAACAUGGACAAAAGUCCAGAAACUGUUGCCUGUGGUGGCCACCAAGGGAACAAAACGGGUUGCAUGGUUGACCAGCGCAGAGUGGCUUCACAGUCACAGUAAUUUGUGCUAUCAGUGUAGCGAGGCAGUACGCACUGCCCCUCUUCAUAUGAGCGAACAGCUGCUGGUUGGAGCACCUGCACGGUCCGUUGGAAGGGUGAGUGACUCAGGCUGAGUCGACAGUGCCAUCUUUGUCGACUGGCUCCACGACUUCAUCCACAGUGUUGGUUGCACCCCUGAGGAACCCCACAUCCUCAUCCUCGAUGGGCACCACUCCCAUAAGACCCUUGAGGCUGUUCUGACAGCAAGAGGCCAGGGUCUGAUUCUCAUCACUCUACCACCCCACUGCAGCCACAAAAUGCAGCCGUUAGACCGUACCGUUUUCAAGGGUCUGAUGGCCUUUUACAACAGGGCAGCAGAUCAGUGGAUGACGAUGCAUCCUGGGAAAAGGAUAUGUAUAUACCAAAUGGCUAGACUCUUCACAAAGAUCUAUAACAAGGUGGCCAGUGUGGAGAGAGGAGUGGAGGGCUUCUGGGCCAGUGGGCUGUGGCCUUUGGAGAAGGACAUCUUCACAGAGGCAGACUUCAUGGUCACUGAAGUUAUAGAGGAGCCUGAGCCCAUUGCCAGUAAGAUAAAGUUAUCUAAAUUAACGAAAAGUAGCAGAAGAAGCAUCUACUUGGUAGAAAGUGUUUAUUGUACUUACACCGAUGUAUUGUUAUGGUCGUUUAUUUUCAAUGCAAAGAAUCCAUUGAACCACAGUGCUCUACCGCUGCCACCGAUGCAGCUACCAGCUCUACCACCGCCACCUCUACCGCCACCAUCACUAGCUCUACCUACACCACCACCAGCUCUAACGCCGAAACCUCUACCUCCGCGACAUCUACCUCCGCCACAACCUCCACCGUGCAGCCUACCCUUGCUCCAAAUGUUGCUGCAGCAGUUCUAUUGGAGUUGUGGCCGAGGCUCCAGGAGGCGAGGCAGAGGAAGAGGAAGGCAGAGUCUGCAGCUGUACUGACAGCCUCACCUUACAAAAGGUUGCUGGAGGAAAAUGCUCGACAGAAACAUCAACAAGAAGAAAAGAGAGAGAGUAAGAAAACAAAUCAGGUUCUUCAAAAAAAAAUUGGUCUCAAAGAAGGUUGGUGCAACACAACAAGCCACAUCAGCCACCAAAGAGGGGGGGCAGAGGGUCUUUUCUGUGAGGUGCUGGUUUCAGUCACAGGUGGGGACUGGAUUAGGUGUGAGCACUGCAGGAGUUGGGCUCAUGGGUUGUGCAAUAGCAGAGCAAAAGAGAUGCAACAUCAAUGUUACACUGAAUUAGUUAACUUGUGAUUUAUUGUUAUUAAAUGUUAUAUU